rnacentral:rRNA from 1 species
GAUGAACGCUGGCGGCGUGCCUAAUACAUGCAAGUAGAACGCUGAAGGAGGAGCUUGCUCUUCUGGAUGAGUUGCGAACGGGUGAGUAACGCGUAGGUAACCUGCCUGGUAGCGGGGGAUAACUAUUGGAAACGAUAGCUAAUACCGCAUGACAACAGUUAUUGCAUGAUAACUGUUUAAAAGGGGCAACUGCUCCACUACCAGAUGGACCUGCGUUGUAUUAGCUAGUUGGUGAGGUAACGGCUCACCAAGGCGACGAUACAUAGCCGACCUGAGAGGGUGAUCGGCCACACUGGGACUGAGACACGGCCCAGACUCCUACGGGAGGCAGCAGUAGGGAAUCUUCGGCAAUGGGCGGAAGUCUGACCGAGCAACGCCGCGUGAGUGAAGAAGGUUUUCGGAUCGUAAAGCUCUGUUGUAAGGGAAGAACGAGUGUGGGAGUGGAAAGUUCACACUGUGACGGUAUCUUACCAGAAAGGGACGGCUAACUACGUG